rnacentral:rRNA from 1 species
AAGUGGUAGGAGAGCGUUCUAUUUGCGUCGAAGGUAUACCGGUAAGGAGUGCUGGAGCGAAUAGAAGUGAGCAUGCAGGCAUGAGUAGCGAUAAUUAAUGUGAGAAUCAUUAACGCCGUAAACCCAAGGUUUCCUACGCGAUGCUCGUCAUCGUAGGGUUAGUCGGGUCCUAAGUCGAGUCCGAAAGGGGUAGACGAUGGCAAAUUGGUUAAUAUUCCAAUACCAACAUUAGUGUGCGAUGGAAGGACGCUUAGGGCUAAGGGGGCUAGCGG